rnacentral:rRNA from 1 species
AUUGAACGCUGGCGGCAGGCCUAACACAUGCAAGUCGAACGAGUGGCGGACGGAUGAGUAAUGUCUGGGAAACUGCCUGAUGGAGGGGGAUAACUACUGGCAACGGUAGCUAAUACCGCAUACCAUCGGAUGUGCCCAGAUGGGAUUAGCUAGUAGGUGGGGUAAAGGCUCACCUAGGCGACGAUCCCUAGCUGGUCUGAGAGGAUGACCAGCCAAGCUGGAAUCGAGACACGGUCCAGACUCCGACGGUAGGCAGCAGUGGGGAAUAUUGCACAAUGGGCGCAAGCCUGAUGCAGCCCUGCCGCGGGUAUGAAGAAGGCCGUCUGGUUUUAAAGUACUUUCAGCGGGGAGGCGUUACCCGCAGAAGAAGCACCGGCUAACUCCGUGCCAGCAGCCGCGGUAAUAC